rnacentral:rRNA from 1 species
CCUACGGGAGGCAGCAGUGAGGAAUAUUGGUCAAUGGACGGAAGUCUGAACCAGCCAUGCCGCGUGCAGGAAGACGGCUCUAUGAGUUGUAAACUGCUUUUGUACAAGGGUAAACCUGAAUACGUGUAUUCAGCUGAAAGUACUGUACGAAUAAGGAUCGGCUAACUCCGUGCCAGCAGCCGCGGUAAUACGGAGGAUCCAAGCGUUAUCCGGAUUUAUUGGGUUUAACGGGUGCGUAGGCGGAUUGAUAAGUUAGAGGUGAAAUGUCCGAGCUUAACUCGGGAACUGCCUCUAAUACUGUUGAUCUAGAGAGUAGAUGCGGUAGGCGGAAUGUAUGGUGUAGCUGUGAAAUGCUUAGAGAUCAUACAGAACACCGAUUGCGAAGGCAGCUUACCAAUCUAUAUCUGACGUUGAGGCACGAAAGCGUGGGGAGCAAACAGGAUUAGAUACCCUUGUAGUC